rnacentral:rRNA from 1 species
UACGAAGGGUGCAAGCGUUACUCGGAAUUACUGGGCGUAAAGGGUGCGUAGGUGGUUUGUUAAGUCUGCUGUGAAAUCCCCGGGCUCAACCUGGGAAUGGCAGUGGAUACUGGCAAGCUAGAGUGCGGUAGAGGGUAGUGGAAUUCCCGGUGUAGCAGUGAAAUGCGUAGAGAUCGGGAGGAACACCAGUGGCGAAGGCGACUACCUGGACCAGCACUGACACUGAAGCACGAAAGCGUGGGGAGCAAACAGG